GGGUGGCAGCGCGUAGCCCGGGUACCCCGUGGGCGGCGAUGGCUGGUGCUGGCCGCCCGAGGAAGGCGGCGGUGAGCUUGAGGAGGAGGACGAUGGCGGCGUUGAGGUUGACGGGUUGGGCCCGUAGGAGCCCGGCGGCGUCGAGCCGGAGGAGGAAGAUGGCGGCGUUGAGGGGGUAGGGCCGUACGAGCUGCCCGGCGGUGCCGCGGAGUGCGAGCCCGGCUUGUUCGACGAGGUCGGCGAGGGCGGCGCCCCGCCGGCUGCUGGCGUCGGCGGCGAGUGGUACG
rnacentral:lncRNA from 1 species